rnacentral:siRNA from 1 species
UAUGCUCAACCCUAGUUUCACAGU